GUCUCAGGCCGUAUCAGCCUGAAGGCGCCCGAUCUCGUCUGAUCUCGGAAGCUAAGCAGGGUCGGGCCUGGUUAGGAUCUUGGAUGGGAGACCACCUGGGAAUCCCGGUGCUCGAGGCU
ensembl:rRNA 5S_rRNA 5S ribosomal RNA